CACCCACAAACACACCCGCAGCCUGCCUGUGACCUGCAGAUGUCACAUCCCUGACCGACCGUCGCGGGGAGAAGGUGGUGCUCUCUACCCUACACUGAGGAAAACUCGUUUAUAAACUCUGCCUCCUCUGUCUCCAGGGACAUGUUCACUCAUUGGCCUCAGCUGAAAAAUGGCUUCCUUGAUCUGGACAACAUGCCUAAAUACUACUACCCACCUCCGGGUUAUUGCAGAGCUGGAAGGGGUGAUGCAGAAACAGCGCCGUGCACAGUGCCUGGCACCGAGUAAUAAAUCGUAAUCAGUAUUGAUUGUUUGCCAUGUGCUAGGUACUGCUCAAAGCAUUUCACAUGGGUUAUCGCAUUUCAAUCUCACAACGACCCUUCGAGGUGGAACACCUUCAUUUCCAGAGAGGAUGCAGAGGAUGAAAGGAUUCAGCCCAGAACCACCAGCUCCUCCUCCAGCCCCCUCUGCCCUGGUUCCUGGGUCUCAUCCCAGCCAGAUGGGGCUUGAGCAGGGAUCAAGGGUUUGGAAACAUGCUGGAAACCAGAUGCUGUGGCGGAGCUGUGCCUUCCCAGGGGAUCUUUGAGUGUUGGGCUGACACCAUGGAAACAAAGAAGCACCUGGCUGUGGACAGAGGAGGGUGUGUCCCCCCACUCACCACCACUUUGUUGAGAUGAGACUUUGCACCUACACCCCUCCCACUGAGACUACAGCCACUGAGUUUCUGCCAUGCUCACUACCAUCAGCAGCAAAGGUCCUUUGUCCUGGGAGAAAGAAGGUCCUGCUCUCUGGUAAUCCCAACAGAAGAAAAGAGGCUUACUGCCAUGAGUUUUCUUAUGAUUAAAUGUGAAACACACAUCAACGCACUCCCUGAAAUUGUGUGAAAGAUCUGAAAGACCCUCUGAAUUCUCUAUGGUGGGAAGAUUAACUUGGGAUGUGGAAAAGAGAAAAGUGGCUCAGGGCCCUUUUCUGUGGAGCACAGAGGCCAGACUGGCACCCCCAGUUCAGAUCUGAGGACAGGGAGGAAGGUCACUCAACAUGGCAGGUACCCAAUGGACUCUUAGGGGCAGGGAUGCCUUUCUGUGAUCCACAUUAUCAGGCCUCCCAAAAAAACUUCAGGAAGGUCUGCAUGAUUUGUCUUUGUGAGGGUGGGAUUUUGGGAAAAAUCAGGAAGGAGGCUGAGGGCACAUUUGGUCAGCACCAGGGCAGAGACAGAGAAGCAUCCGUGAAACAUGGAACAAGGAAGCAGAAUUCAGCCGAGUUGGGAGCCAGAGCCAGCGACUACUGUGGGAACACAAAUCUUCCUGCGAACGUGCGGGAAGACAAGUCCUGGAAGACAUUUCCAGGACUUAAUUAAGACUAGAGACAAUUUUUGUAGCUCUUAAGAGGCAGAGGCCAUUCUACUGCUAUCUGGAUUGUAGAAAAUUAUUAUGAUUCUUAUUUUAGAAAUGAGAAAGUUGAGAAAUUUAGGUAAAGGGCCCAGAGCUACUAAAAGCCAGUGAUCAGAAGCAGCCAACACCAGGAGGUGGCUGACAAAAAGCCUGGUCCCAGAUGGUGCUGGAGGAAACAGCACGUUCAGACCAAGGAGGGGGCAAUGGGCUCACUGUUCCCUCUGUUCACAGCACUGUGGUGUGGGGCACUCACUCUGGGAAAGACCUUGACACAACAGGGCACGCCCAAAGGUGGCUCCCUGGACAAACUCAGAUCUGAUGAAUCCAAGGCGGGAUUGAUGCAGAAAUGGGGUUGCUUUGGCCUGAAGGAUGGGAAGCUGGGGUGGAUUGUGGGGGAUAGAAGAGGAUGAGCAGUGUCCUCAAGAACUGAAGGCACAGAGGGACAGAAGGAGACUUCUGUGGAAGCUCAGGCUGGGGAAUUGGCAGGAGGAGGACCUACGGGUAGAAUCUCAGAAAAGCAGAUUUUAGUUCUGUAUAAGAAGGAACUUCAGAGGACUCUCGUAAAAAGCAAAAAGGCAAAGGUAGCAGCUACUUUACUGAGUCACCUCCACUUAAGUAUGACUUUUUGGUGUUCAAAACUACUUCGUAUCUAAUCUUAACACAUAUUCGACAAUUUAGAAAACGAUGGAGAAGAUGCCAGAAAUCAUCUCUAAUACUACUAUCUAGAAAUAAUCAUGACAAUCACUAAUAGCCUUCAAGUAUUUCUUUCAAGAUAUCCAUCUAGGAUCCCAACACGAUAGAAAUGAUGAACCCUCAGGCAGUGAUGGAUAUUCCCAACACCCUGCCUUGACCAUGACACAUUCUAUGUGUCAUGCAAUGUAAUAUCACAUGUACCCCACACAUACAUACAAUA